AUUGAACGCUGGCGGCAUGCUUUACACAUGCAAGUCGAACGGUAACAGGCCUUCGGGUGCUGACGAGUGGCGAACGGGUGAGUAAUGCAUCGGAACGUACCCAGAGGUGGGGGAUAACGCAGCGAAAGCUGUGCUAAUACCGCAUGUGAUCUGAGGAUGAAAGCGGGGGACCGAGCAGCAAUGUUUGGCCUCGCGCCUUUGGAGCGGCCGAUGUCGGAUUAGCUAGUUGGUGGGGUAAAGGCCUACCAAGGCGACGAUCCGUAGCUGGUCUGAGAGGACGACCAGCCACACUGGGACUGAGACACGGCCCAGACUCCUACGGGAGGCAGCAGUGGGGAAUUUUGGACAAUGGGCGCAAGCCUGAUCCAGCAAUGCCGCGUGCGGGAAGAAGGCCUUCUGGUUGUAAACCGCUUUUGGCAGGAACGAAACGGUGUCCGCUAAUACCGGGCGCUAAUGACGGUACCUGCAGAAUAAGCACCGGCUAACUACGUG
rnacentral:rRNA from 1 species